GUGACUCCCAGAUAUCAGCCCACCUGUCUCAGCUCUGGGAUUAAAAGUGUGCACCACUCUGUCCCACCUUCCUCUUCUAACAAUGAGUCUCCAAAGUUGUUUUGUUUCAUUUCGUUUUGUCCUCAAACGCCUGACUUCAAAAGAGAAAAAGCACCAAGUCUUCAGGUUUCACAGGGCUUCCUACUAACAGGACAGGCCCCAAAGCUGAGCUCUGCAAACUCACCCAACCUCACUCCUCAACACGGAACACCAGAAAACCGCCACUGGACCAGCGGAACUGCGGAAGGAAGAGGCUGCCACGUGCUUGUGUCGAUCAUGUCUCCUGGACCCCUGGUUCCUGUCGAAGUUACCGCCCCCAUAGCCCCCCCCCCCCUCUCAAGAGAGGCUUGUGGCUAUCAGUCACGUAGACAAUGUUCCAAGCUUCUGGCAUUCUGGCUAGACUCCUUCCCACAGUUACCUAGCAACAGCAAGAUAGCCAGCCCACUAUAAGAGGGUCUGCUUGGCCCCUCCUUUCUCUCUCUAAGCUUUUACCUCUCUUACUCUGAUUAUUAGAUAACCUCUCUCUCUCCCUCUCUCUCUCUCUCCAUGUGACCAUGGCCUGUCUCUCUCUCUUUUUACUUUCUCUCCUUUCUCCCUGCUUUUCUACAAUAAAGCUCUAAAACCAUGGACCGUCUCUGUUCAUCAAGGCCCGCUGAGCUUGAACAAUGGGGAUAGGCUUUCUCCUAACAAGCUGAGUCUAACCUCCCGCCAGAAGGCCUUCCUACACUGCAGCCACAGACUGGACUAAGGACUCUUGCCUGUGUGGGAGCCACUCAGUGCCCCCCUCUAACUCUGCCCUCUCUUCCCUUAUCUCUGGGCCAAGUGCUGCCCCCUGGGCCCCUAUUCUGUUCUCUGCUCCUUCGCCAGAUUCAGCGUGGGAUGCCAGAGGCUGAGAACCUGGUACCUGGAGUUGCCCCUUGUCCACAACCCGCUGUGUGGGGUAAGUGGCUUGACACAGGUGCCCACCUUGGGCCACAC
rnacentral:lncRNA from 1 species